rnacentral:lncRNA from 1 species
GGCUUUACAGUGCUGAAUACAGCUCCGGUGGAUGUGCGAGGAGAUCUCCGAGAGAUUAUCCUAGGAAAGGGGUACUAUGUGUGGCACGCAAUUAAAAUCACUCGUUGAACAAUAUUUCGUUCUUCUUUGUUGAUUUGGAUGGGUGUUCGUCUCGGCAACAUUUUUGUGGUAAUGAUGGUACUGAUGUCUGGUCAUGCGCAUCAGCCUCAUCAUAUUAGAAACUGGCAGUGUGAUUGGGUGUCAUACAAUGUCAGCGAAGAGACAAGAUCUGAAAUUCUGUCGAGGAUCCAUUACCUUCGCUGUUUAUUACUGUGAAACAUCCGUCAGCGCACCCUUCAUCUCGUUCAUCCCCCGCCGCGCCAUCACGUUG